ensembl:lncRNA
GUACAGCAAAAAAAAAAGCACAAUGUAAAAUCUCAAUAUUACAUCGCGGCAUAACCUGAACAAAAAAUAUAACAGCAGAUCCAUAACGUUGUACAGAAAGAAAAGGACAAAACUGGUUAUCAGCAUCAGUCUGUUUCAAAGAAGUCUUCAAACCAACGAAAACAGACAGGAAGAAGGACAAACUUUUGUUUAAAAUGAAUAGAGCGUCCAGGUGUUGCUGAAGCAGGAGAGAGGUUCAGCUCCUGGAGAGCAGAGGAGCUUUGUGACCUUCUCAUGUAGUCCAAACGGUCUCACGGUGGGCCUCACUGUCCAGACUCUCCCCUCGUUUCUGUUUCCAGGGUUGAGAUGUGGAGGAUGGUGGUGCCAGAUUUACAACAGGGCCAGUUCUGGCCCAAGAGGACCUCUAAAGGGGCCUAAUGUUACUCUAAGGUCCAAGGCCCUUCUGUUAUUUUCAGAGAGAGACUGGAAGCCAAAACAGACACUCCAUCUAAACAUGAAUCAGAUUCUCAACUGCGAUACAUUUCUAGAAACAUAAAACCCUUUUACUUCCAUAUCACAUCGAAAUAAUUUAGCAAAUGUAAAAUACACAUUUCCUGAAGUGGUGUGAAGUCCUUUAGUGAAACGUUUUGGGGUAUCUGUACUACAUUCCUAAAAAUAAUGUACUUUUUACUCCAUACAUUUUCCCUGACACCCAAAAAGUACAUUUUGAAUGCUUAGCAGGACAGGAAAUGGUCUGAUUUAUACACUCAUCAAGAGAACAUGGUCAUUCAUACUUUUGAUCCGUAAGUAUAUUUUAGCAAUUAUGUUGACUUUUUAUACUGAUGUAUAUUUAAAACCAAAGACUUUCACUCAAAGAACAAACUUUUGUUUAAAAAUGAAUAGAGCGUCCAGGUGUUGCUGAAGCAGGAGAGAGGUCCAGCUCCUGGAGAGCAGAGGAGCUUUGUGACCUUCUCAUAAGGUCGUAUUUUACUGGGUGACUCACUUUUCUAUUAAAGUAUCAUUACUUUUACUCAGGUAUGAGAAUGUAUUUUUUACACUGCUGCUGUACACCGUUUUGACCAGCCGACAGAAUAUUUCAGUGACAACACGUUUUCUGGCGGUCUGCUUCCAUUACACACAGGUGUCAGGUGCACGCUAGAUAUCUAACUAGCACAGGUGUCAGGUGCACGCUAGAUAUCUAACUAGCACAGGCGUCAGGUGCACGCUAGAUAUCUAACUAGCACAGGCGUCAGGUGCACGCUAGAUAUCUAACUAGCACAGGCGUCAGGUGCACGCUAGAUAUCUAAUUAGCACAGGCGUCAGGUGCACGCUAGAUAUCUAAUUAGCAUAGGUGUCAGGUGCAUGCUAGAUAUCUAAUUAGCACAGGUGUCAGGUGCAUGCUAGAUAUCUAAUUAGCACAGGUGUCAGGUGCAUGCUAGAUAUCUAAUUAGCACAGGUGUCAGGUGCACGCUAGAUAUCUAAUUAGCACAGGUGUCAGGUGCACGCUAGAUAUCUAAUUAGCACAGGUGUCAGGUGCAUGCUAGAUAUCUAAUUAGGAUAGGUGGUGUCUCGGUGGUCCGUCGACACUGUAACAUGGAUUCAUUUAAACUGGACACAGCAGAUCAUCUAGAUGACAGCAUCAACAGAGAAAAUACCUUUCUGAAAACUCGCCCCCGACUCCAAAACCAUCUGAUUCCUAAUGAAAACGGAAAAACCUUUCUGAAAUAAAUAGCUUCUCAUUUUCAGUUUAUUGAGAAAUAAUUGUAAUUAUUGAAUUGGAAUUUCAGUUUAUUUCCUGAACUGACCGACUUCUAUUGGAAUGGAUCCCAACAGGCCCCUGACCUCUGACCUCUGUGGAGCAGGACAGAUUGAGGAUGCAUCCCAACAGGCCCCUGACCUCUGUGGAGCAGGACAGAUUGAGGAUGCAUCCCAACAGGCCCCUGACCUCUGUGGAGCAGGACAAAUUGAGGAUGCAUCCCAACAGGCCCUGACCUCUGUGGAGCAGGACAGAUUGAGGAUACAGGCCCCUGACCUCUGUGGAGCAGGACAGAUUGAGGAUCCCACAGGCCCCUGACCUCUGUGGAGCAGGACAGAUUGAGG